AGAAUCAACGCUGGCGGCGUGCCUAACACAUGCAAGUCGAACGAGAAAGUGGAGCAAUCCAUGAGUAAAGUGGCGCACGGGUGAGUAACACGUGACUAACCUACCCUUGAGUGGGGGAUAACCUCGGGAAACCGGGGCUAAUACCGCAUAAUAUCGAGAGAUCAAAGGAGCAAUUCGCUUAAGGAGGGGGUCGCGGCUGAUUAGCUAGUUGGUAGGGUAAUGGCCUACCAAGGCUAUGAUCAGUAUCCGGCCUGAGAGGGCGCACGGACACACUGGAACUGAAACACGGUCCAGACUCCUACGGGAGGCAGCAGUGGGGAAUUUUGCGCAAUGGGGGAAACCCUGACGCAGCAACGCCGCGUGGAGGAUGAAGUCCCUUGGGACCGUAAACUCCUUUCGAUCAGGACGAUAAUGACGGUACCGGAAGAAGAAGCCCCGGCUAACUUCGUGCCAGCAGCCGC
rnacentral:rRNA from 1 species